GUCCACGCCGUAAAACUGUGGGUACUAGGUGUGGGUUUCCUUCCUUGGGAUCCGUGCCGUAGCUAACGCAUUAAGUACCCCGCCUGGGGGAGUACGGCCGCAAGGCUAAAAACUCAAAAGAAAUUGACGGGGGCCCGCACAAGCGGCGGAGCAUGUGGAUUAAUUCGAUGCAACGCGAAGAACCUUACCUGGGUUUGACAUGCACAGGACGUGCCUAGAGAUAGGUAUUCCCUUGUGGUCUGUGUGCAGGUGGUGCAUGGCUGUCGU
rnacentral:rRNA from 1 species